UCCCAGACUCCUACGGGAGGCAGCAGUGGGGAAUAUUGGGCAAUGGGCGCAAGCCUGACCCAGCAAUGCCGCGUGAAGGAAGAAGGCUUUCGGGUUGUAAACUUCUUUGACAGGGGAAGAGCAGAAGACGGUACCCUGAAAACAAGCCACGGCUAACUACGUGCCAGCAGCCGCGGUAAUACGGAGGAUGCGAGCGUUAUCCGGAUUUAUUGGGUUUAAAGGGUGCGUAGGCGGGCUUUUAAGUCAGCGGUAAAAAUUCGGGGCUCAACCCCGUCCGGCCGUUGAAACUGGGGGCCUUGAGUGGGCGAGAAGAAGGCGGAAUGCGUGGUGUAGCGGUGAAAUGCAUAGAUAUCACGCAGAACUCCGAUUGCGAAGGCAGCAUACCGGCGCUCAACUGACGCUGAGGCACGAAAGCGUGGGGAUCGAACAGGAUUAGAUACCCCGGUA
rnacentral:rRNA from 1 species